rnacentral:misc_RNA from 1 species
UUCUUUUCCUUUGUCUUCAGCGUCGGUCAGGUUCAGGGUGCGAUUUUGCUGGGGUCCAUGGCGUGCCGACACGUGCGGUGCUGUUGUUGCCGGUGAUACCACGUGUCCGGAUUUUGUGGAUUGGCUGCUUGGACCCCAACAUCUACGUUAAAGAACUGAGCAAAAUUUCUCAUCCCCGACUGACAUCGGGAUGGAGAUGGUGUCGUGGACCUUGGACAUCUGAACUCGAGAGACUGGCGGUUGAUUAUCCCGGGAGUUUUUGCGGGGCCACGUGUCACGGAGACCGCUAUGAUAAGUGACCACAUUUAACCUCCACCCACGCGUUAGAAAUAAUUCGAACCCUCAGUGUAGUUUAAAUUAAUAUUAGAUAAAUCAAAAAUGUAUUUCGGUCCAUAGUGUAGAUUUAAAAUAAUUUCGGGUUGUGUUUAACUCGUUCGUUUGAUCCGUAAACAGAAGAUAAAGUUGUUUGUUCAUACAAAUUUGUAUUAGCUUAAAAUUGUGUUUUCCUUGUAUUAAAUUACUUUCUACAUUAGUCUAAUUUAAUUUUGUUCUCCAAUCCAAUCUGAUCGCUAACUUUUUUAAAUAUAUAUAUAUUUACCUCUCUGUGUUUUAGUUCGUCGCGUUAAGGAAGAAUUAUUAUUCUCUUAUUCUAUGCUCUUUCAAUUUAAUUACAUUUAAAUAUAUUUAUUACUAGCUGACCCGGCGAACUUCGUAUCGCC